rnacentral:rRNA from 1 species
AUUGAACGCUGGCGGCAGGCCUAACACAUGCAAGUCGAGCGGUAACAUUUCUAGCUUGCUAGAAGAUGACGAGCGGCGGACGGGUGAGUAAUGCUUGGGAACAUGCCUUGAGGUGGGGGACAACAGUUGGAAACGACUGCUAAUACCGCAUAAUGUCUACGGACCAAAGGGGGCUUCGGCUCUCGCCUUUAGAUUGGCCCAAGUGGGAUUAGCUAGUUGGUGAGGUAAUGGCUCACCAAGGCGACGAUCCCUAGCUGGUUUGAGAGGAUGAUCAGCCACACUGGGACUGAGACACGGCCCAGACUCCUACGGGAGGCAGCAGUGGGGAAUAUUGCACAAUGGGCGCAAGCCUGAUGCAGCCAUGCCGCGUGUGUGAAGAAGGCCUUCGGGUUGUAAAGCACUUUCAGUCAGGAGGAUUAGUAGUAAUACCUGCUAGCUGUGACGUUACUGACAGAAGAAGCA